AUUGAACGCUGGCGGCAUGCCUUACACAUGCAAGUCGAACGGCAGCACGGGGGCAACCCUGGUGGCGAGUGGCGAACGGGUGAGUAACAUAUCGGAACGUGCCCUGGAGUGGGGGAUAACUAGUCGAAAGACUAGCUAAUACCGCAUACGAUCUACGGAUGAAAGUGGGGGAUCGCAAGACCUUAUGCUCGUGGAGCGGCCGAUAUCUGAUUAGCUAGUUGGGGGGUAAAGGCCUACCAAGGCAUCGAUCAGUAGCUGGUCUGAGAGGACGACCAGCCACACUGGGACUGAGACACGGCCCAGACUCCUACGGAGGCAGCAGUGGGGAAUUUUGGACAAUGGGCGCAAGCCUGAUCCAGCAAUGCCGCGUGAGUGAAGAAGGCC
rnacentral:rRNA from 1 species